rnacentral:rRNA from 1 species
CAGUCGCCACGGGAAUACGAAGGGGGCGAGCGUUGCUCGGAAUGACUGGGCGUGAAGGGCGCGUAGGUGGCGUGCACAGUCAGAUGUGAAAUUCCUGGGCUCAACCUGGGGGCUGCAUUUGAUACGUGCGUGCUAGAGUGUGGAAGAGGGUCGUGGAAUUCCCAGUGUAGAGGUGAAAUUCGUAGGUAUUGGGAAGAACACCGGUGGCGAAGGCGGCGACCUGGUCCAUUACUGACGCUGAGGCGCGAAAGCGUGGGGAGCAAACAGGAUUAGAUACCCCCGUAGUCCCUGUCUCUUAUAC